rnacentral:rRNA from 1 species
AGUGAACGCUGGCGGUAGGCCUAACACAUGCAAGUCGAACGGCAGCACAGUAAGAGCUUGCUCUUACGGGUGGCGAGUGGCGGACGGGUGAGGAAUACAUCGGAAUCUACUUUUUCGUGGGGGAUAACGUAGGGAAACUUACGCUAAUACCGCAUACGACCUACGGGUGAAAGCAGGGGAUCUUCGGACCUUGCGCGAUUGAAUGAGCCGAUGUCGGAUUAGCUAGUUGGCGGGGUAAAGGCCCACCAAGGCGACGAUCCGUAGCUGGUCUGAGAGGAGGAUCAGCCACUCUCGAGAUGAGGCACGGUCCAGGCUCCUACGGGAGGCCGCAGUGGGGAAUAUUGGACGAUGGGCGCAAGACUGUUCCAGCCAUGCCGCGUGGGUGAAGGAGGCCUUCGGGUUGUAAAGCCCUUUUGUUGGGAAAGAAAAGCAGCAGGUUAAUACCCCGCUGUUCUGACGGUACCCAAAGAAUAAGCACCGGCUAACUUCGU